UCGGUAAAACUCGUGCCAGCCACCGCGGUUAUACGAGAGACCCUAGUUGAUAUAUACGGCGUAAAGAGUGGUUUGGGACCUAUCUCCAAAAUAAAGCCGAAGAUCUCCCAAGCCGUCACACGCAUCCCGGAGACACGAAGCCCUGAUACGAAGGUAGCUUUAUUAAUACCCCGACGCCACGAAAGCUAAGAAACAAACUGGGAUUAGAUACCCCACUAUG
rnacentral:rRNA from 1 species